rnacentral:rRNA from 1 species
AUUGAACGCUGGCGGCAGGCCUAACACAUGCAAGUAGAGCGGAGCGGCGGACGGGUGAGUAAUGACUAGGCAUCUGACUGGUAGUGGGGGAUAACGUCCGGAAACGGGCGCUAAUACCGCAUCCUAUCAGCUGAGCCUAGGUCGGAUUAGGGAGUUGGUGGGGUAAAGGCCGACCAAGGGGACGAUCCGUACCUGGUCUGAGAGGAUGAUCAGUCAAAGUGGAACUGAGACACGGUCCAGACUCCGACGGGAGGCAGCAGUGGGGAAUAGUGGGCAAUGGGCGAAAGUCUGUGCCAGCCAUGCCGCGUGGGUGAAGAAGGUCUUCGGAUUGUAAAGCACUUUAAUUUGGGAGGCGUUUCCAACAGAAUAAGCACCGGCUAAAUUCGGGCCAGCAGCCGGGGUAAUAAC